CUGGGUUGACCUGCUGCUGUCCACUUGCCUGCUCCCCUGUAGACACUCUCCUCAUCACGGCUGGCUUCCGACCUUCCGUGCCCAUCUCGUUUCUCCUCUCUGGGCCUGUUUCACCAUCUCUGAGUAAAGGUUGCCCCCAGUUCUAGGGCUCCUUGAAUUUCUAAAACUCUACCAACCAUUUAUAGAAACGGAGGACAUCUCAACUCGUGUUAUUUUUUUAAUCCUUCCUUCUAACCUCUGGCUGCUGCAGGGCGACAGCUCACAGGUCCUGCCAGGAACGAGAGGCCCUUUGCAAAGUCAGCCGUGCUCUUGUGUCACCGUGAUCGGAAGGGCACCUCCCGGGUCUUACCAGACGGCACCCUUCGUCCCACGAGGCCCUUGAAGAAUAUGGCUGGAGCCGCCCGAUCACAGGCCGUGUCCAAGGGGCCCGGGGAGGAAAAGGAAUCUUUUUCAGUAGACGUCGCAGUUCAGGAGUGGAGCCCUGUUGCCAACGCCGCAUACCUGCACGGCACCUGAACCAGGUGGUGAAGCGAGGAAGUAAAGGGCUGUAAAUACACAGUCAGACCCGGCGACGAGAGAGCAGGCAAACCGGCUAGCCUGCUACUGCGUCCUCCCGCGCCCGUGCCCCCCCUUUCCCGCCCGAGACGCUCUCCGAUGGGCGCCUUGCCCACCCAACUCUGCUGUAGCUGCUCUGGGUUCGACACAACCAGAGGUAUCUUUGGCAUUUUCUUUUCUCUGCUUCAUAACCUGUGGAACAUUUUAUACAAAAAAAAAAGUAGAUUGACAGAAAAAAAUGUGCAUAUAAAUCACUUAUUAAUCCCAAAACGUAGUAAAUAACAUAGCAAAAA